GUGCCAAGGCGAGGGAGCGAAGAAAUGCGCAUGGAGCUCAGAUUGCCAUGCGUUGAAACAGGAGGUGAUGGCACAGAUACUCUGCACCUGCCAGCUCCCACUGCAUCAAGAUCAGCUGACGGGGAGACUGGUGCUCAAAGCAAGCCAUCAGGCUCCAGGAGAGGAGGUGGAGGCAAGUAUAUUAACACUGAGUGUCUACAAUUGCCUCAGCAAGUGUUCUUGGGUAAAUCUAACAAGCAUGCAUCAGAGCGUGUAAAAGUGUACUUGUAGGAGUGAUCCUUAAAUGACAAAAAAAAAAGA